AGGAUGUAGUUCAAUGGUAGUACACAUGUUUUGCAUGUAUGAAGCCUUGGGUUUAAUCCCUGGCAUUCCUA
rnacentral:tRNA from 1 species